GCUUUCCUGUGGCUCAGUUGGUAGAGCAUUCAUUGCUCCAACAACGCAAAGGUCGUGGGUUCAAAUCCCAGGGAAAGCA